GAUGAACGCUGGCGGCGUGCCUAAUACAUGCAAGUCGAGCGGUAAGGCCCCUUCGGGGGUACACGAGCGGCGGACGGCUGAGUAACACGUAGGAACGUACCCCAAACUGAGGGAUAAGCACCAGAAAUGGUGUCUAAUACCGCAUGUGGUCUUCGGAUUAAAGCUUCGGCGGUUUGGGAACGGCCUGCGCAUGAUUAGCUUGUUGGUGAGGUAAUGGCUUACCAAGGCGAUGAUCAUUAGCUGGUCUGAGAGGAUGAUCAGCCAGACUGGGACUGAGAACGGCCCAGACUCCUACGGGAGGCAGCAGUAGGGAAUUUUCCACAAUGGGCGAAAGCCUGAUGGAGCAACGCCGCGUGCAGGAUGAAGGCCUUCGGGUUGUAAACUGCUUUUAUAUGUGACGAUUAUGACGGUAGCAUAUGAAUAAGGAUCGGCUAACUCCGUGCCAGCAGCCGCGGUAAGCUCGUCUCUA
rnacentral:rRNA from 1 species